rnacentral:rRNA from 1 species
GACGAACGCUGGCGGCGUGCUUAACACAUGCAAGUCGAACGGAAAGGCCCUGCUUUUGUGGGGUCCGCGAGUGGCGAACGGGUGAGUAACACGUGAGUAACCUGCCCUUGACUUUGGGGUAACUUCAGGAAACUGGGGCUAAUACCGGAUAGGAGCUCCUUCUACAUGGGGGGGGUGGGAAAAUGUCGGCGUCGGGGGAUGGACUGGCGGCUCAGCAGCUUGUUGGUGGGGUAGUGGCUUACCAAGGCUUUGAGGGGUAGCCGGCCUGAGAGGGUGACAGGCCCCAUUGGGCCUGAGAUACGGGCAAGACUCCUACGGGAGGCAGCAGUGGGGAACAUUGCACAAUGGGCGGAAGCCUGAUGCAGCAACGCCGCGUGCGGGAUGACGGUCUUCGGGUUGGAACCCGCUUUCGCCUGUGACGAAGAGUGAGUGACGGUAAUGGGUAAAGAAGCACCGGCUAACUACGUG